rnacentral:rRNA from 1 species
UGAGUAAUGCGUAGGAAUCUACCUAGUAGUAUGGAAUAGCCAUUAGAAAUGAUGGGUAAUACUGUAUAAUCCCUGCGGGGGAAAGAUUUAUCGCUAUUAGAUGAGCCUACGUUAGAUUAGCUAGUUGGUUAGGUAAUGGCUUACCAAGGCUAUGAUCUAUAGCUGGUCUGAGAGGACGAUCAGCCACACUGGAACUGAGAUACGGUCCAGACUCCUACGGGAGGCAGCAGUGGGGAAUAUUGGACAAUGGGCGAAAGCCUGAUCCAGCUAUGCCGCGUGAGUGAAGAAGGCCUUCGGGUUGUAUAGCUCUUUCAAUAGGGAAGAUAA